rnacentral:rRNA from 1 species
CCUGGCGACGGUUGUCCAGGUUCAAGUGCGUAGGCUGAGAGAUUAGGUAAAUCCGGUUUCUCUUAAGGCUGAGACACGACGUCGAGCUACUACGGUAGUGAAGUCAUUGAUGCCAUGCUUCCAGGAAAAGCCUCUAAGCUUCAGAUUGUAAGGAAUCGUACCCCAAACCGACACAGGUGGUCGGGUAGAGAAUACCAAGGCGCUUGAGAGAACUCGGGUGAAGGAACUAGGCAAAAUGGUACCGUAACUUCGGGAGAAGGUACGCUCUUGAUGGUGAAGUCCCUCGCGGAUGGAGCUGACGAGAGUCGCAGAUACCAGGUGGCUGCAACUGUUUAUUAAAAACACAGCACUGUGCAAAAUCGUAAGAUGACGUAUACGGUGUGACGCCUGCCCGGUGCCGGAAGGUUAAUUGAUGGGGUUAGACUUCGGUCGAAGCUCUUGAUCGAAGCCCCGGUAAACGGCGGCCGUAACUAUAACGGUCCUAAGGUAGCGAAAUUCCUUGUCGGGUAAGUUCCGACCUGCACGAAUGGCGUAAUGAUGGCCACGCUGUCUCCACCCGAGACUCAGUGAAAUUGAAAUCGCUGUGAAGAUGCAGUGUACCCGCGGCUAGACGGAAAGACCCCGUGAACCUUUACUACAGCUUGGCACUGAACAUUGACCCUACAUGUGUAGGAUAGGUGGGAGGCUUUGAAGCAAGUACGCCAGUAUUUGUGGAGCCGUCCUUGAAAUACCACCCUUGUAGUGUUGAUGUUCUAACGUCGACCCCUAAUCGGGGUUGCGGACAGUGCCUGGUGGGUAGUUUGACUGGGGCGGUCUCCUCCCAAAGAGUAACGGAGGAGCACGAAGGUGGGCUAAUCACGGUUGGACAUCGUGAGGUUAGUGCAAUGGCAUAAGCCCGCUUGACUGCGAGAAUGACAAUUCGAGCAGGUGCGAAAGCAGGUCAUAGUGAUCCGGUGGUUCUGAAUGGAAGGGCCAUCGCUCAACGGAUAAAAGGUACUCCGGGGAUAACAGGCUGAUACCGCCCAAGAGUUCAUAUCGACGGCGGUGUUUGGCACCUCGAUGUCGGCUCAUCACAUCCUGGGGCUGAAGUCGGUCCCAAGGGUAUGGCUGUUCGCCAUUUAAAGUGGUACGCGAGCUGGGUUUAGAACGUCGUGAGACAGUUCGGUCCCUAUCUGCCGUGGGCGUUGGAAGAUUGAAGGGGGCUGCUCCUAGUACGAGAGGACCGGAGUGGACGAACCUCUGGUGUUCGGGUUGUGUCGCCAGACGCAUUGCCCGGUAGCUAAGUUCGGAAUCGAUAACCGCUGAAAGCAUCUAAGCGGGAAGCGAGCCCUGAGAUGAGUCUUCCCUGAUACUUUAAGUAUCCUAAAGGGUUGUUCGAGACUAGAACGUUGAUAGGCAGGGUGUGUAAGCGUUGUGAGGCGUUGAGCUAACCUGUACUAAUUGCCCGUGAGGCUUAACCAU